GUGUUAGUGGAAGCGUCUGGAAAGGCGCGCGAUACAGGGUGACAGCCCCGUACACAAAAAUGCACAUACUGUGAGCUCGAUGAGUAGGGCGGGACACGUGGUAUCCUGUCUGAAUAUGGGGGGACCAUCCUCCAAGGCUAAAUACUCCUGACUGACCGAUAGUGAACCAGUACCGUGAGGGAAAGGCGAAAAGAACCCCGGCGAGGGGAGUGAAAAAGAACCUGAAACCGUGUACGUACAAGCAGUGGGAGCACGCUUCGGCGUGUGACUGCGUACCUUUUGUAUAAUGGGUCAGCGACUUAUAUUCUGUAGCAAGGUUAACCGAAUAGGGGAGCCGAAGGGAAACCGAGUCUUAACUGGGCGUUAAGUUGCAGGGUAUAGACCCGAAACCCGGUGAUCUAGCCAUGGGCAGGUUGAAGGUUGGGUAACACUAACUGGAGGACCGAACCGACUAAUGUUGAAAAAUUAGCGGAUGACUUGUGGCUGGGGGUGAAAGGCCAAUCAAACCGGGAGAUAGCUGGUUCUCCCCGAAAGCUAUUUAGGUAGCGCCUCGUGAAUUCAUCUCCGGGGGUAGAGCACUGUUUCGGCAAGGGGGUCAUCCCGACUUACCAACCCGAUGCAAACUGCGAAUACCGGAGAAUGUUAUCACGGGAGACACACGGCGGGUGCUAACGUCCGUCGUGAAGAGGGAAACAACCCAGACCGCCAGCUAAGGUCCCAAAGUCAUGGUUAAGUGGGAAACGAUGUGGGAAGGCCCAGACAGCCAGGAUGUUGGCUUAGAAGCAGCCAUCAUUUAAAGAAAGCGUAAUAGCUCACUGGUCGAGUCGGCCUGCGCGGAAGAUGUAACGGGGCUAAACCAUGCACCGAAGCUGCGGCAGCGACACUAUGUGUUGUUGGGUAGGGGAGCGUUCUGUAAGCCUGUGAAGGUGUGCUGUGAGGCAUGCUGGAGGUAUCAGAAGUGCGAAUGCUGACAUAAGUAACGAUAAAGCGGGUGAAAAGCCCGCUCGCCGGAAGACCAAGGGUUCCUGUCCAACGUUAAUCGGGGCAGGGUGAGUCGACCCCUAAGGCGAGGCCGAAAGGCGUAGUCGAUGGGAAACAGGUUAAUAUUCCUGUACUUGGUGUUACUGCGAAGGGGGGACGGAGAAGGCUAUGUUGGCCGGGCGACGGUUGUCCCGGUUUAAGCGUGUAGGCUGGUUUUCCAGGCAAAUCCGGAAAAUCAAGGCUGAGGCGUGAUGACGAGGCACUACGGUGCUGAAGCAACAAAUGCCCUGCUUCCAGGAAAAGCCUCUAAGCAUCAGGUAACAUUAAAUCGUACCCCAAACCGACACAGGUGGUCAGGUAGAGAAUACCAAGGCGCUUGAGAGAACUCGGGUGAAGGAACUAGGCAAAAUGGUGCCGUAACUUCGGGAGAAGGCACGCUGAUAUGUAGGUGAAGUCCCUCGCGGAUGGAGCUGAAAUCAGUCGAAGAUACCAGCUGGCUGCAACUGUUUAUUAAAAACACAGCACUGUGCAAACACGAAAGUGGACGUAUACGGUGUGACGCCUGCCCGGUGCCGGAAGGUUAAUUGAUGGGGUUAGCGGUAACGCGAAGCUCUUGAUCGAAGCCCCGGUAAACGGCGGCCGUAACUAUAACGGUCCUAAGGUAGCGAAAUUCCUUGUCGGGUAAGUUCCGACCUGCACGAAUGGCGUAAUGAUGGCCAGGCUGUCUCCACCCGAGACUCAGUGAAAUUGAACUCGCUGUGAAGAUGCAGUGUACCCGCGGCAAGACGGAAAGACCCCGUGAACCUUUACUAUAGCUUGACACUGAACAUUGAGCCUUGAUGUGUAGGAUAGGUGGGAGGCUUUGAAGUGUGGACGCCAGUCUGCAUGGAGCCGACCUUGAAAUACCACCCUUUAAUGUUU
rnacentral:rRNA from 1 species